rnacentral:sRNA from 1 species
GCUGGGCGGGGUGUGGCACACCUGUAAUCCCAGUGACUCAGGAGGCUGAGGCAGGAGGAUUGCAAGUUCAAAGCCAGCCUCACCAGUCUAGCAGGGUACUUAACAACUCAGCAAGACCCUGUCUAUA